UUUGCCGUCACCACUGUGGACGCCAUGGUGGCUAUCGACGCAGUGAUGGACGGCGAGUAUGCAGUUAUGAAGGCGCAUGGCUGAUGUGCAUACCAAGUCAAAACGAAUGUACGUUUUGCUGCAACCGCUGCGGAAGAAACUGUAACCGCUAUCGACACGAUCAUGGGCGGCGACCUUGCAGUUCUGAAGGCACACAGCCAUCACGUGCACCGAUUGAAAAAGGAGCUAUUGUUUGCCAUCACCACUGUGGACGCCAUGGUGGCUAUCGACGCAGUGAUGGAUGGCGAGUAUGCAGUUAUGAAGGCACAUGGCUGAUGUGCAUACCAAGUCAAAACGAAUGUACGUUUUGCUGCAACCGGUGCGGAAGAAACCGUGACCGCUAUCGACACGAUCAUGGGCGGCGACCUUGCAGUUCUGAAGGCACACAGCCAACACGUGCACCGAUUGAAAAAGAAACUAUUGUUUGCCG
rnacentral:lncRNA from 1 species